CAAGACCACCACAGAGCCGAUGUCCGAUGCAAAACACACAGGGGUUUAUUGAUAACAAGCAAACCCAGGCUUGGUCUGUGUUCAACACUCAACACAGCAGGUGGAGGAGGAUGGCCCUGAGCUCUCAGGGUGAGGAGUUUUUAAAGGGACAAACCACAAGAAGG